GGGCGCCGGACAGAGGCCUGAAAGGACCGCAACCCACCUGAAGGAAAGCAGGGCGUGUGUGCACGUGCAGGUGUGUGUGUUGGGGGGGCACCUCAUCGACGCAGCUGGGCACCUGCAAGCACAAGUUUCUGAUAGUUGAAAACGGUGCCUCUCCCCAGAGGCACUAGGAGGAUUAACAGAAGUAAUGCAAAUAAAACGUGCAUUAAAAUAAUGCAAAGUAAACACAAAAUAACGCCCCACCCCAAAGUCCCUGCUACAAAGAAGACAUUUCCCCCAGGGGUUUCAAAUAUCAACGGCAAGAUCCCUUUUCUGGUUAAGGGGACAUUUUCCAAACACUUCUUGCCGCCCCGGUGGAAACCCCCUCCCCCCCAGGCUUGGGAUCCCAGGAAAGACUCCUGGGCCACCCCGGUCCCCUCCUGCGGAUUGACACGGGUCCUUCAAGUCCAGGAUACAGGUCAGACCCAGUCAGAAGUCACUCCUCCCUCACCUGCCCGGCACCUGGGCACAAGGCACUGUCGGGGUUCUGGCAGAUGGAGCCGACCCCAGGGUGCAGGGCAUCCUCGCCGCUUUCAGCCCAGCACAGGAGGAUCCGCGGGGGUCCCAGCCCACGCUCCUCUUGCCCACAAGGCCAGGCAUCUCAGAGGUCACCCCACACCCCACCCACGACUUUGGCCAGAAAGAGAAGCUUGUCGCAUCCACCCCCAGCGCCAGGCCCUUCCCAGGACUCCCGUCUCGGCAGGAAUCCCCGCUGCUGUCUGGGAGCGACCCCCUCUGCCACCUCCGCCCCACAGGCCCCGCCCCUCCCAGGCGGGGCCACCGCAUCCUACGUCCUCUCGCUUCUGCUGGGCACAGAGCGCGUCUGGGCAUUCAGACCCAGCGGUCCCCUUUCCUACUUGGCCAGACGCGGCCGCGCCUAACUGCGCUCUGCCGGCCACCUGCAGCCCCGCGGCCCUGACCCGCGGCGCGGAAUCUGGGUUAGGAAGCGGGCGAGUUACUGGAUGUCUGGGUGUUGGCGGAAGUGUGAUGGAUAAUUCGAGACAUCGGAAUACAGAGUAGGAGGAAGGCUGUAUAAACCGGCCCCGAGGACACAG
rnacentral:lncRNA from 1 species